GGCAAGCAGGGGCAAGGAGCCGCGGUAUAACGGAGGGGGAAAGAGUGGUCCGGAUUUAUUGGGCGUAAAGCGAGCGCAGGCGGUUUGGUAAGUCGGAUGUGAAAGCCCACGGCUCAACCGUGGAAGGUCAUUGGAAACUGGGGAACUUGAGUGCAGAAGAGGAGAGUGGAAUUCCAUGUGUAGCGGUGAAAUGCGUAGAUAUAUGGAGGAACACCAGUGGCGAAGGCGACUCUCUGGUCUGUAACUGACGCUGAGGCUCGAAAGCGUGGGGAGCAAACAGGAUUAGAUACCCGGGUCGUC
rnacentral:rRNA from 1 species